rnacentral:rRNA from 2 species
GAGUUUGAUCGUGGCUCAGAUUGAACGCUGGCGGCAUGCCUUACACAUGCAAGUCGAACGGCAGCACGGGAGCUUGCUCCUGGUGGCGAGUGGCGAACGGGUGAGUAAUGCAUCGGAACGUAUCCUGGAGUGGGGGAUAACGUAGCGAAAGUUACGCUAAUACCGCAUAUUCUGUGAGCAGGAAAGCGGGGGACCUUCGGGCCUCGCGCUCUUGGAGCGGCCGAUGUCGGAUUAGCUAGUUGGUGAGGUAAAGGCUCACCAAGGCGACGAUCCGUAGCAGGUCUGAGAGGAUGAUCUGCCACACUGGAACUGAGACACGGUCCAGACUCCUACGGGAGGCAGCAGUGGGGAAUUUUGGACAAUGGGGGCAACCCUGAUCCAGCCAUGCCGCGUGAGUGAAGAAGGCCUCGGUGUAA